GAUGAACGCUGGCGGCGUGCCUAAUACAUGCAAGUCGAGCGAAUGGAUUAAGAGCUUGCUCUUAUGAAGUUAGCGGCGGACGGGUGAGUAACACGUGGGUAACCUACCCAUAAGACUGGGAUAACUCCGGGAAACCGGGGCUAAUACUGGAUAAUAUUUUGAACUGCAUAGUUCGAAAUUGAAAGGCGGCUUCGGCUGUCACUUAUGGAUGGACCCGCGUCGCAUUAGCUAGUUGGUGAGGUAACGGCUCACCAAGGCGACGAUGCGUAGCCGACCUGAGAGGGUGAUCGGCCACACUGGGACUGAGACACGGCCCAGACUC
rnacentral:rRNA from 1 species